rnacentral:misc_RNA from 1 species
UCCGGUUUGUCACCGGCAGUCUCCUUAGAGUUCCCACCUUUACGUGCUGGCAACUAAGGACAAGGGUUGCGCUCGUUACGGGACUUAACCCAACAUCUCACGACACGAGCUGACGACAGCCAUGCAGCACCUGUCUCUGUGCUCCCGAAGGCACCCCUAUAUCUCUACAAGGUUCACAGGAUGUCAAGAGUAGGUAAGGUUCUUCGCGUUGCGUCGAAUUAAACCACAUGCUCCACCGCUUGUGCGGGCCCCCGUCAAUUCAUUUGAGUUUUAACCUUGCGGCCGUACUCCCCAGGCGGUCUACUUAUUGCGUUAGCUGCGCCACUAACCCCUCAAGGAGGCCAACGGCUAGUAGACAUCGUUUACGGCGUGGACUAC